UUUGCUUUUGUAACCGUGUGCUGACCACCGCAGAAAGCUGCGUCUGCUUUGCAACAGAAGAAGAAAUUAAUCCACAGACUACAGCGGGAAACAAACAUGGUCUGACUGCUGAUUAAAGCAAGCAUCUACGUGGUGAGGAAGAUCCGGGCUUCCAUUGCUGAGGGGGAGCAACUGGAAAAACCCAUUCUGACACCAUGUAGUGCUAUAGCUGAAAUGAAAGAAGGACAUGAGUCAAGAGGAAAUGUCCCGGCUGUCGGGCUGAGCUCGGACCUGUUGGAGGAGUCGGUGGAGCAGCAGGUUUGGGAACAUCUUCAGAGACAGCCGUGAAGAAAUGUGGCUCCUCCUGACCCUAAGGAGCAGCCGGACAUGUGGGGCUGUGGUCACCUUGGUGGACAAAUACAAUGUGUCAUCUUUGCAUUAAAGGACUAUAAUCCUUUGAUGAUUCCACUUAAAAACAGGACAAUAUACAUGCACUGAUCAACAAUAUGUAACAGAACCAUGUGGGUUUCAUUUCACAUCUUAAUUCACUGCUUUCUGGUUUCCAUGUUGUCCAAGGUGGCUGAUGUCUCGAUCCUAAUUGCUCAUGUUUUGGCCUUUUUCACAGAGAGGAUGCAAAGUAACCAUGUAACAAAGAAACAGCUGCCACAAGUAUCAUUGACAAAGAUUAGUAACAAUGUCGGUGUGCUCUGGGCUUCAGGGGAUUCGAAAGGCACCUCAAUGAAAUUAAGAAGGUCAUGGCAUUACAUUAUUGGGUUAGUCAGCAUCUUCUCUGUGAAAGAGAAGAUUUUUUUUAUGUACUGCAGUGUUUGAAGGCUGACUCACCAACCUCUCUCCAGGGGCUGAGCAGGCCUGAUGUCUUUCCUGCUGUAUCAAUAAAAAUAAUAAUAAUAA